rnacentral:lncRNA from 1 species
UCUCAACAGGCAGAAGACCUCAGCAAUCCCUUUGGACAAAUGAGCCUUAGCCGCCAAGGUUCCACUGAAGCAGCUGACCCGUCCUCAGCCUUGUUCCAGUCCCCACUUAUCUCCCAGCAUCCUCAGCAAGCUAGUUUCAUCAUGGCCUCUGCAGGACAGCCCCUUCCUACUUCCAACUAUUCCACUUCUAGCCAUGCACCACCUACCCAGCAAGUCCUGCCACCCCAAGGCUACAUGCAGCCCCCUCAGCAGAUCCAGGUUUCUUACUAUCCUCCUGGACAGUAUCCUAAUUCCAACCAGCAAUAUCGACCUCUGUCUCACCCGGUGGCCUAUAGCCCCCAGCGUGGUCAACAGCUGCCUCAAGCAUCCCAGCAGCCUGGCUUACAGCCCAUGAUGUCUAGCCAGCAGCAGACGGCUUACCAAGGCAUGCUUGGGGUCCAGCAGCCUCAGAACCAGGGCCUCCUCAGCAACCAGAGGAGCAACAGCAUGGGAGGCCAGAUGCAGGGCCUGGUGGUUCAGUACACUCCACUGCCUUCUUACCAAGUCCCAGUGGGCAGUGAAUCACAAAAUGUGGUCCAGCCGCCUUUCCAGCAGCCCAUGCUGGUCCCUGCCAGCCAGUCUGUUCAGGGAGGCCUCCCAGCAGGAGGUGUGCCUGUGUACUACAGUGUGAUCCCACCAGCUCAGCAGAAUGGUACGAGCCCUUCUGUGGGGUUUCUGCAGCCUCCUGGCUCUGAGCAGUACCAGAUGCCUCAGUCUCCCGCUCCCUGCAGCCCACCACAGAUACCACAGCAGUACUCAGGCGUGUCACCUUCUGGACCAGGUGUGGUGGUCAUGCAACUGAAUGUCCCUAAUGGACCCCAGGCCCCCCAGAAUCGAGGCGGGAGGGGCUGGCACAAUAGGAGCAAGGGCCAAGCCGGGAGCCGAAGGCGGAUUGGGCCAGAGCUUACCACAUUAUGGCUGAAGAGAGAAGCAGACAGAUUCUCACACCGGCACAGGACUCCUUGACAUGGGACUCCCUUGCCAUGGGUCCCCCUUUUCCCUGGUUGGUCCCCUUCUGUCUCCCCCUCCUUCCCAUCUUCUAUCAUUUUUUAAAUCUCUUCUCCCACCAUGAAAUUAAUUUGUUUCAUAUUUUUGGCUGAGUAGAGUUGAGAGGGCUCUGCCCUCCCCUUCUCCCACUUCAUCACCAGCCCAACUGCCCUUCCCUCUUUUGGUCUUCAUGAAUAUAUUUAUAUGGACAGAAUUAAGAAAAAUAAAUUGAUUUCCCCAUUCGUUCAAUUCCCCCACCUUGUCUCCCCAAACCCCACAGAGUUAAAACUUGGGACUCCCCCGACCCCUGAUCCAACCCCAGAACACUUGUAUAUUGUUUGUUUGAGGUUUGUGCCACCACAGUAACAGACACAGUAUUUAAUUGCACAUACAGAUGUUUGCUGGGUUCACUGUAAAUUUUAUUUAAUCUGGUUUUUUGUUUGUUUGGGGAGUUACUUGGGGGGGAGGUUGGUUUUGUUUAUAAAUAUAAAAAAAGCAAAAACCUG